GCUGAGAGGGCCCUAUGGUCGCCCGGCGUU
rnacentral:sRNA from 1 species